AUUACUCCUACGGGAGGCAGCAGUGGGGAAUAUUGCGCAAUGGGCGGAAGCCUGACGCAGCGACGCCGCGUGAGGGAUGACGGCCUUCGGGUUGUAAACCUCUUUCAGCAGGGACGAAUGUAGACGGUACCUGUAGAAGAAGCACCGGCCAACUACGUGCCAGCAGCCGCGGUAAUAAU
rnacentral:rRNA from 1 species